GUAUAGUCAACUAAACUAACUUUUGAGCUCCAACACUUUACUGACCAUUAUUCCUUCUUUGUCAUCCUCUGCUAAGUGUCUUAUAAAAAUUUAUUUCUCUCUCUCUGUCUCCAUAGACUAAUUUAUUAUUUAUUGUUGAGAAGCUCAUGAGUGCCAUUACUAGUUCUGCCUGUUCCUGUCCUUCAGUUAUGAAGAAAAUAUUUCAUUUAUUAUGUACACUAUCAGUCAAACAGUUCCCUGAGUUUGAUGAUUAAGUGCUGUUCACAUCAAUUAGUGGGUUUAUCUUUUUGAAGUUUUUUGCUCCAGCCAUUUUGAAUCCAAAGCUGUUCGGACUACAAUCUGAGAAUCCAAAUCAGACUGUCUUAAGGACUUUACUUCUCAUUUCAAAACUAUUCAAAAUUUAGGAAAUGUUGGAGCAAGAGUAAAUAAAUAAUCUGAGAGAGAGUGAGAGAGAUAAAGAUAUGUGUAUUAUUUAUUUACAUGUUUACUUUAUCAAUUUUUCUUGAUCAAA